GCAGACUGUUGCCAAAAGUCUUUUGGCCUUGGAUUUGGAUGCAUGGAGCAGGCUUUACAAGGCAGUGUGUCACUUCCCCCAGCCCACUCUGCAGAAUGAAGGGACCCAUUUCAUAUUCAGAAGCUAGGACGACAGGAAUAACCAAUCAGAUUUAUACUGUACUUUUCCCAUUUCCAGUGGUUGCAGCAAUGGAACGACUCACAUUUCCCCUCUAACAUUCUACUUGGACAUAGUUGAUGAGAGGGCAGGUCAAUCUGCUGCAGGUAGAGGGAACUACAAGAGCUGAAUCUUCUAGCUGUAAGCCUAAACAACAAGGCUUUAUCAUUAAAUGUUUAUG